rnacentral:rRNA from 1 species
CUACGGGUGCAGCAGUGGGGAAUAUUGGACAAUGGGCGAAAGCCUGAUCCAGCCAUGCCGCGUGUGUGAAGAAGGCCUUCGGGUUGUAAAGCACUUUCAGUGGGGAAGAAAGCCUUGGGGCUAAUACCCUCGAGGAAGGACAUCACCCACAGAAGAAGCACCGGCUAACUCCGUGCCAGCAGCCGCGGUAAUACGGAGGGUGCGAGCGUUAAUCGGAAUUACUGGGCGUAAAGCGCGCGUAGGCGGUCUGAUAAGCCGGUUGUGAAAGCCCCGGGCUCAACCUGGGAACGGCAUCCGGAACUGUCAGGCUAGAGUGCAGGAGAGGAAGGUAGAAUUCCCGGUGUAGCGGUGAAAUGCGUAGAGAUCGGGAGGAAUACCAGUGGCGAAGGCGGCCUUCUGGACUGACACUGACGCUGAGGUGCGAAAGCGUGGGUAGCAAACAGGAUUAGAUACCCUAGUAGUC